rnacentral:rRNA from 1 species
GAUCCAACAGGGUAUUGCCCCAGUAACGGCGAGUGAAGCGGCAGGAGCUCAAAUUUGAAAUCUGGGGCCCCCGGCCUCCGAGUUGUAAUUUGGAGAGGCUCCUUCGGGGGGGAGCGCUGGCCCAUGUUCCUUGGAACAGGACGUCGCAGAGGGUGAGAAUCCCGUGCCAGGCCGGCUGCCUCCUCCCGCGUGAAGGGCCUUCGACGAGUCGAGUUGUUUGGGAAUGCAGCUCCAAGUGGGUGGUAAAUUUCAUCUAAAGCUAAAUACCGGCGGGAGACCGAUAGCGCACAAGUAGAGUGAUCGAAAGAUGAAAAGCACUUUGAAAAUAGAGUCAAAAAGUACGUGAAAUUGUUGAAAGGGAAGCGCUUGAGACCAGACUCAGACCCGGGCAAACACCGGCCCCCCAGGGGCCGUGCACUUGCCCGGUGCUGGGCCAGCAUCAGUUGGCGUGGCGGGACAAGGGCGCGGGAAAUGUGGCUCCCCUCGGGGAGUGUUAUCAGGCCCGCGCCGGAUGCCGCCGACGCCGACUGAGGACCGCGCCUCGGCUAGGAUGCUGGCUUAAUGGCCUUCAGCGACCCGUCUUGAAACACGGACCAAGGAGUCUAACAUCUAUGCGAGUGUUUGGGCGCCAAACCCUUGCGCGGAAUGAAAGUGAGCGGAGGUGGGAACCCCUCACCGGGCGCACCAUCGACCGAUCCUGAUGUCUUCGGAUGGAUUUGAGUAGGAGCAUAGCUGUUGGGACCCGAAAGAUGGUGAACUAUGCCUGAAUAGGGUGAAGCCAGAGGAAACUCUGGUGGAGGCUCGCAGCGGUUCUGACGUGCAAAUCGAUCGUCAAAUUUGGGUAUAGGGGCGAAAGACUAAUCGAACCAUCUAGUAGCUGGUUCCUGCCGAUU